rnacentral:rRNA from 1 species
UACGAAGGGGGCUAGCGUUGCUCGGAAUUACUGGGCGUAAAGCGCACGUAGGCGGUCUUUUAAGUCGGGGGUGAAAUCCUGGAGCUCAACUCCAGAACUGCCUUCGAUACUGGAAGACUCGAGUCCGGGAGAGGUGAGUGGAACUGCGAGUGUAGAGGUGAAAUUCGUAGAUAUUCGCAAGAACACCAGUGGCGAAGGCGGCUCACUGGCCCGGUACUGACGCUGAGACGCGAAAGCGUGGGGAGCAAACA